AGUGGGGACAGGAUAGAAGAAGCUGGAGUGAUAAAUAGGGGCCAGAUCACAAAGGACUCUGUGUAACGUGCUGAAGAGAUUGGAUUUUUCCCCCCUGAAGGUGAUGGAAAGCAAAUGAGGAAUUUUAAGCAGGGGAGAGACAUGAUCAAAUUUGCAUUUUAGAAAUAGCAACCAUGGAGGAUGGGUUAGAAGAUGAGGCUGAGAGCAGGGAAUAAUUUAGUAGGCUACUGCUGUGAUGAGUGAAAAAUGAUGAGGGCCUGAACUCAGCAAAGAGGUAGUGGGCAUUUAAAGAUCAGGGGACAGCAAUGACAAAUCGUGACUUCUUGUCAGUUGUCAGGAGAGAAAAGAGGCCAGGUGACUCCAUCUUCCAGCUUAGCAUCUUAGAGAGGGUCAGAAUGGAAGAGAAAAGAGGAAAGACAGGAAGGGCAUGAACACAGAUAGACCUCUCCCAUGCUUUAAGCGCUGUGCAGAGAAUUCUACGUCUAUCCUCUUAUCCUUUGCAAUAAAGUCGUCUGAUAGUUCACCAGCCCAGAAGAGAAAUAAGAAUUCAGAAAGCUUAAACUUAGGUCUUAACCAGCACAGGUGUUUUCAGAUCCUGGCCUGAGAAAGAGACCCUAAGUCUGGGAAGGUGUUGUGUACAUAGGAGAGUAAGCUCGGAGACAUCUGUUUCCAACGCAUCUCUGACUCAAAGAACAUUGCUACAUGUGUGCAAACCCAGCACAUGGGAGGCAGAGGCAGGCAGGUCGGGAGUCCAGUGCCGAUCCACGUGGCACAUAACAAAUUCCAGGCAAGCUGAGGCUGCGUGAGACCCUCUCACAAACCAUGACAGCAGCGGCAACAGCAGAAGUACAAGCAUUCAGAAGGCAGAGACAGCCAGAUCUUGGUGAGUUCAAGUCAGCCUGAUCUGCAGAUCGAAUUCCUGGACAUCAGGGCUACGAAGAAGAUAGAAGAAGGAGGAGGAUGAGGAAGAAGAAAGAAGAAGAAAGAAGAGGUGAAAGGGGCUGGAGAGAUGGCUCAGCAGUUGAGAACAGUGGCUGCUCUUCCAGAGGUCCAAGUUCAAUUUCUAGCACCCAGAUGAUAACCCACAACCAGGUAUAACUCCAGUUCUAGGGGAUCCAAUACUCUUCUGGCUUCCACGGGCCACAUACAUAAUUGCACGUGCAUACACACAUGAUAUACAUAAGCAAAACACUUAUAAACAUAAAAUGAAAGUAAUUUAAAGAAGAGGAUGAUAAACAAGAGGAGAAAUACCAGGUGGGUCCCACUUCACAGGAUCUGACACCCUCUCUGACCUCAGCAGCACACACGUGGCAUCCAUUCACACAAACACAGACAUGUGCGACAAUUUUUAAAUUCUUUAAAGAAAGAGAAAGCAAAAGAAAUGUUCAUUUCUGGGUGGAAAGAUUACUCAAUGCAGACUCAGCAGGCACCUUGCAGAGAGACCUGCAGUAGAAGAACUUCCACCGAGGAAGACCAAAUCUUUGAGCUUCUUCCAGUUUGUGAGGGAUCAGAUUUACCCAACAGAGAUUUAUCUAACCUACUUCCUCUCCACGGAGCAUCCAAAUACUCAAAUACUUUUGAAAUUAUUUUUUUGUGUUUGUAGAUGUUGGGAGACUAAACACACAUUUACAAACAUUCUUCAGUGGUGAUGGAGUGUUAAUCUAUUAGGAUGCCUACUUGUGGUCAUUUAUUAGAAGCCCAUCUUUUAUUUUGUUUUGAGAUGCUGUCUCACUGUGUAGUCCAGGUUGGAUUUGAACUCAUAGCAGUCCCUGUUUCAACCUCCCAAAUACUGAGAGUAUAAAUAGACAUCACCAUAACAGGCCUAGGAAUCCUUCAUCUUGACUCUACACAUAUUUGGGGGUUACUUUGAACUCCUGAUCACCUUGCCUUUACUUUGUCCUUUGCCUUUCAAACACACCUGGAUCUUUUUUUUUUUUUUUAAGGCAUAUUUUUAUAUAGCUCAGGCUGUCCUGGAACUCAUAAUUCCCUGCCUCAGGCCUCUCCAGUGCUGGGAUUACAAGCAUGCACUAGCAUGCCUGACACUUGACACAUGUGCUGGUUAGUUUAUAUCAACUUGACAUAGGCCAGAGUCAUCUAGAAAGAGGAAAAGUCAAUUGAAAAAAUGUCUCCAUAAGAUUGGCUUCUAGAACUGGGUGCAGUGGCACACACCUGCAAUCCCAGCACUCAGGGAAGCAGAGACAGAUGGAUCUCUGUGAGUUCAAGGUCAGCCUGGUCUACAGAGUGAGCCCAGGACAGCUACACAGAGAAACCCUGUCUCAAAAAAAAAAAAAAAAGAUUGGCUUGUAGGCAAGUCAAUGUGGAGCAUUUUCUUGACUAAUGAUUGAUGAGGGAGGACCCUUAUCCCUCCCACUGUGGGCAGUACUACCCCUGGGCAGGUAGGCAUAGGUUGUUCAAGAAAGCCAGCUAAGGAGCUGGAAAAAUGACUCGGGAGUUAAAAGUCUUUAGUGUUCCUGAAGAGGAUCAGAAUUCAAUUCCCAGCACCUACAUGGUGGCUCACAACUGCAUUUAAUGCCAGUUCCAGAGGGCCCAACACCAUCUUCUGAGGUUCAUGAGGUUCACUCAUGCACACAUGUGGUGACACAUGCACAUUCGGGCACACACACAGAUAUAAAACAUUUUUUAAGGCAGGCCAGGCAAGCUGUAGAGAGUGAACCAGGAAUCAGAUUUUCUCUGUGGUCUCUGUGGUCUCUGCGUGAGGUCCUGCCCUGACUUCCCUCCAGGAGGAACUAUGAUCAGGAUAUACAAGCCAAACAAACCCUUUCCUCCUCAGGUUGCUGAUGGUUAUGGUAUUUAUCACAACAAUACAAAGUAAAUGAGAACAGGAAUUGGGUAUUGUAUGAAUGGCCAGGCCAUGUUGGAGGGACGAAUGAAGAAAGAUGUGAGGGCUUUGAGCUAGAAAAGCUGCUGAGUGCUCACAGCUUAUUGAUCUGCUGUUGUGAGAGGUUAGAAGAUAAUGGUGAGAGCCGUGUAGAUGACGGAGGCCUUGUGAAGUUACAGAGGGAAGCAAAGACUAUCAGGACUUUUAAUGUAAUAUUUUUAUAUUAAGAAUUCGUCGUUUCUGAUCAUCUGGGCCUAAAGAAUAAGCUAUGAUUAACCACAGACCAGCACCACUGAUUUGGGGGGCAUGAAAGCUGCAGAAUUGAAGAGGUUGUAGAGGCUGAGGCUUGGCACUAGUUCUCAGGGUUGGAGCCCCUGAAGGGAAUCCAGGAGAUGCCAUUGGUAAAGACAUAGCCUCAUCAAGAUUGACCUGUCUGCCUCCUAAAUGCUUGGACUAAAGGCAGGUACCACCACACCUGGCCUGCUUUCAGGAAUUCUGAAGCCUUCUGACUUCUUCAUGGAGCA